rnacentral:ribozyme from 1 species
AACGGUCGACGGAAUAAAACACACAACAACACCAGGAAGCAAAGGUGAGUUUUCUAUGUUCGCAAGGUUUUAACCUUUGCAAUAUUCCUUUUUUCUAUUUCUUUAAUUGUACCUCUAUUCAAACAAAAGGAGAAUGAUACACUGCUGCGGCAGUAUCUAUUAAAAGAAU